rnacentral:rRNA from 1 species
CUGACUGUGCUAAGGUAGCGUAAUCNGUUGGCUUUUAAAUGGAGUCGAGUAUGAAUGGGUCUACGGAAACAAGCUGUCUCUUUUUGGUUAUAUUGAAGUUUCUUUAAGGGUGCAAAGUCCCUUGAUUAGAAAAAAGACGAGAAGACCCUUAGAGUUUUUAUUAAAGAUAAGAAUUUAUUUAAGUUUUUGCUGGGGCGGCAAAGAGACAAAGCAAUUAAACUCUCUUUUUAUUGUUUUUAGAAGACGAAAAUGUUAAGAAUCAUUAAACUACCUUAGGGAUAACAGCAUAAUUAAAUUUUAGUUUGUGACCUCGAUGUUGGACUAGGAAGGCUUUUGACCAGCAGUCAAAAAGUGUGGUUCUGUUCGAACUAA